rnacentral:rRNA from 1 species
AGUGUAGGCGGUUUAGCAAGUCGGAUGUGAAAUCCCAGGGCCCAACCCUGGAACUGCAUCCGAUACUGUUAGGCUAGAGUCCCGGAGAGGAUGGCGGAAUUCCCGGUGUAGGGGUGAAAUCCGUAGAUAUCGGGAGGAACACCAGUGGCGAAGGCGGCCAUCUGGACGGUGACUGACGCUGAGACUCGAAAGCGUGGGUAGCAAACAGGAUUAGAUACCCUGGUGGUCC